rnacentral:rRNA from 1 species
GACGCUGGCGGCGUGCCUAAUACAUGCAAGUCGAACGCUUCUUUUUCCACCGGAGCUUGCUCCACCGGAAAAAGAGGAGUGGCGAACGGGUGAGUAACACGUGGGUAACCUGCCCAUCAGAAGGGGAUAACACUUGGAAACAGGUGCUAAUACCGUAUAACAAUCGAAACCGCAUGGUUUUGAUUUGAAAGGCGCUUUCGGGUGUCGCUGAUGGAUGGACCCGCGGUGCAUUAGCUAGUUGGUGAGGUAACGGCUCACCAAGGCCACGAUGCAUAGCCGACCUGAGAGGGUGAUCGGCCACAUUGGGACUGAGACACGGCCCAAACUCCUACGGGAGGCAGCAGUAGGGAAUCUUCGGCAAUGGACGAAAGUCUGACCGAGCAACGCCGCGUGAGUGAAGAAGGUUUUCGGAUCGUAAAACUCUGUUGUUAGAGAAGAACAAGGAUGAGAGUAACUGUUCAUCCCUUGACGGUAUCUAACCAGAAAGCCACGGCUAACUACGUGCCAGCAGCCGCGGUAAUACGUAGGUGGCAAGCGUUGUCCGGAUUUAUUGGGGCGUAAAAGCGAGCGCAGGCGGUUUCCUUAAGUCUGAUGUGAAAGCCCCCGGCUCAACCGGGGA